GGUUGAUUUAGUUCAUGGUUCUGCAGGCUGGGAAGUUCAAGCACAUGGCUCUAGCUUCUGGUGAGAGGUUUCAGGCUGCGUCAUAAUAUGGCAGAGAAGAUCAAUGGGUAAAUGGACAUGUGUGAAGAAAGGCAAAACCAGAGACCGUCCAGGCUGGACUUGAACUCCUUCCUCGGCUGAAGUGAUCCUCCUGCCUCAGCGUCCUGAAUAGGUAGGACUACAACUGUGAGUCACUUUACUCAACCAGAAAUGGUGAAUGAUAAAAAAUGUUUAUAGAUCAUUGCUUCUAAAAAGACUAUAUUAGACACACUGUGGUACCCAAAACCAAAUGCUAGCUACUUUUUAACUCAAAA
rnacentral:lncRNA from 1 species